rnacentral:lncRNA from 1 species
AAUCGUAAGCCGCGAAAGUUGGUUGUGCCGCCCGGGCCCUCCAUGCUCCGCGCAGAGAUAGCACUUAAUCAUAAGCCGCGAAAGUUGGUUGCACCCCCCGGGUUUUCCAUGCUCCGCGCAGAGGUUGCUUUAACCGUAAGCCACGAAAGUUGGUGGCACCCCCCGGGUCCUCCAUGCUCCGUGCAGGGUGUUCCUGUCAAUCGUAAGCCGCGAAAGUUGGUCGUGCCAUCCGGGCCUUCCAUGCUCCGCGCAGAGGUGGCACAUAAUCGUAAGCCGCGAAAGUUGGUUACACCCCCGGGUCCUUCCAUGCUCCGCGCAGAGGUUGUCCUUAACCGUAAGUCACGAGAGGUGGUGUGCACCCCCCGGGUCUGCCAAGCCUCGUGCAGGGUGUCCACUUAACCGUAAGCCAUGGAAGGUGGUGUGCAUCCCCCGGGUCUGCCAAACUCCGUGCAGGGUGGACCUUUAACCGUAAGCCACGAAAGUUGGUCGCACCCCCCGGGUCUUCCAUGCUCCGUGCAGGGGUUACUAUUCAAUCGUAAGCCGCGAAAGUUGGUCGUGCCAUCCCGGGCCUUCCAUGCUCCGCGCAGGGGUAGCACUUAAUCAUAAGCCGCGAAAGUUGGUUACACCCCCGGGUCCUCCAUGCUCCGCGCAGAGGUUGUCCUUAACCGUAAGUCACGAGAGGUGGUGUGCACCCCCCGGGUCUGCCAAGCNCGGACGACUAGAACGGUAGAUUACGGGUCAUAGUUGCCGUCCCCGGUCAACUUCUAACCUAUAACUCCCAAAAGCACACAAAGAUCGACAUACUCUCACCCAACUCUCAACCUCCCGGUUAUCGAAUCAAUAUGUUUCAAACACCUAAUCUAUUACAAUUAUCCUCUCCCGAUUCAAAUCACAAAUUAGAAAAGACAUAGAAAGUGGCCAACAAACCAUACAAGAAAUAAAACAAGGGCUUGAAAAGAUAAUAACAAAGAAACAAACAAGACAUAUAUUAAGCAAAAUAAUCAAUCCAUCACAUAAUCAUCAGCCUAAUCCCCAAACCAAAGAGAAAUUUAGCCAAACAUGUUCAAAAACAACAAACCAAAAGAAAAGAAAAACAUAAAUGAAAAAGAGAGAAAGAAUGACAAAUCCUAUUAAGAAGCUUGCUUCAAUCUUCUCUCAUCUUCAAUCCCUUCAAAUGGGUAAAAAGAUAUGAUAAUGGAGACUAGGGCUUGGUAUGGAUGAAUUGGGGAAGAUGAAAAUGGGUGAGUAUAAGGUUGGGGAAGAUGAAUAAUGUGAGGAAAAGGGGGAGAAAGGGGUUUAAGGGCUGAAAAACGCGACUCCGCUCUUUUCCCGCGGUCAUGGCCCGCGCCCGUGGUGCUCAAACGUGGGCAAAACUCAGGGAACCCGCGGUCCCGCCCCGCGGCCGCGGGUGGUGACCGCGGGGUACUGGGCGUAUUGCGCAGUCCGCUCGUUUUGCUCCGUUCUCCCUCGUCCGGACUCGGAUUUGGUCGCCGUUUGCGCUCACGGAUUCCUCUCGAGACGUACUUCAAUCUCAUAUCUUCAAAAUCCUCCAAUUAAUCAUUGAGGUUUCCUGAAAUUACUCCAAAACUACACCAAGAUAUCAAAUCUUUAUAAAACUAAAUAUUCGGGCACAAACAAGCAUUCACAAGCAAAACAUGAAGGGAAAUGACAACAAAACAUGUGGAAUUGAGGUACGAAAACCAUGUUUGUCAGCUCCGCGCAGAGGUGGCACAUAAUCGUAAGCCGCGAAAGUUGGUUACACCCCCCGGGUCCUCCAUGCUCCGCGCAGAGGUUGUCCUUAACCGUAAGUCACGAGAGGUGGUGUGCACCCCCCGGGUCUGCCAAGCCUCGUGCAGGGUGUCCACUUAACCGUAAGCCAUGAAAGCUGGUUGCACCCCCCGGGUAUUCCAGGCUCCGUGCAGGGUGGACCUUUAACCGUAAGCCACGAAAGUUGGUCGCACCCCCCGGGUCUUCCAUGCUCCGUGCAGGGGGUUACUAUUCAAUCGUAAGCCGCGAAAGUUGGUCGCGCCAUCCGGGCCUUCCAUGCUCCGCGCAGAGGUGGCACAUAAUCAUAAGCCGCGAAAGUUGGUUACACCCCCCGGGUCCUCCAUGCUCCGCGCAGAGGUUGUCCUUAACCGUAAGUCACGAGAGGUGGUGUGCACCCCCCGGGUCUGCCAAGCCUCGUGCAGGGUGUUCAUUUAAUCGUAAGCCGUGAAAGUUGGUCGUGCCAGCCGGGCCUUCCAUGCUCCACGCAGAGGGUUACUAUUUAAUCGUAAGCCGUGAAAGUUGGUCGUGCCACCCGGGCCUUCCAUGCUCCACGCAGAGGGUUACUAUUUAAUCGUAAGCCGUGAAAGUUGGUCGUGCCACCCGGGCCUUCCAUGCUCCACGCAGAGGGUUACUAUUUAAUCGUAAGCCGCGAAAGUUGGUUGCAC